rnacentral:rRNA from 1 species
ACCAUCCUCCAAGGCUAAAUACUCCUGACUGACCGAUAGUGAACCAGUACCGUGAGGGAAAGGCGAAAAGAACCCCGGCGAGGGGAGUGAAAAAGAACCUGAAACCGUGUACGUACAAGCAGUGGGAGCACAGAGCAAUCUGUGUGACUGCGUACCUUUUGUAUAAUGGGUCAGCGACUUAUAUUCUGUAGCAAGGUUAACCGAAUAGGGGAGCCGAAGGGAAACCGAGUCUUAACUGGGCGUUAAGUUGCAGGGUAUAGACCCGAAACCCGGUGAUCUAGCCAUGGGCAGGUUGAAGGUUGGGUAACACUAACUGGAGGACCGAACCGACUAAUGUUGAAAAAUUAGCGGAUGACUUGUGGCUGGGGGUGAAAGGCCAAUCAAACCGGGAGAUAGCUGGUUCUCCCCGAAAGCUAUUUAGGUAGCGCCUCGUGAAUUCAUCUCCGGGGGUAGAGCACUGUUUCGGCAAGGGGGUCAUCCCGACUUACCAACCCGAUGCAAACUGCGAAUACCGGAGAAUGUUAUCACGGGAGACACACGGCGGGUGCUAACGUCCGUCGUGAAGAGGGAAACAACCCAGACCGCCAGCUAAGGUCCCAAAGUCAUGGUUAAGUGGGAAACGAUGUGGGAAGGCCCAGACAGCCAGGAUGUUGGCUUAGAAGCAGCCAUCAUUUAAAGAAAGCGUAAUAGCUCACUGGUCGAGUCGGCCUGCGCGGAAGAUGUAACGGGGCUAAACCAUGCACCGAAGCUGCGGCAGCGACGCUUAUGCGUUGUUGGGUAGGGGAGCGUUCUGUAAGCCUGUGAAGGUGUACUGUGAGGUAUGCUGGAGGUAUCAGAAGUGCGAAUGCUGACAUAAGUAACGAUAAAGCGGGUGAAAAGCCCGCUCGCCGGAAGACCAAGGGUUCCUGUCCAACGUUAAUCGGGGCAGGGUGAGUCGACCCCUAAGGCGAGGCCGAAAGGCGUAGUCGAUGGGAAACAGGUUAAUAUUCCUGUACUUGGUGUUACUGCGAAGGGGGGACGGAGAAGGCUAUGUUGGCCGGGCGACGGUUGUCCCGGUUUAAGCGUGUAGGCUGGUUUUCCAGGCAAAUCCGGAAAAUCAAGGCUGAGGCGUGAUGACGAGGCACUACGGUGCUGAAGCAACAAAUGCCCUGCUUCCAGGAAAAGCCUCUAAGCAUCAGGUAACAUCAAAUCGUACCCCAAACCGACACAGGUGGUCAGGUAGAGAAUACCAAGGCGCUUGAGAGAACUCGGGUGAAGGAACUAGGCAAAAUGGUGCCGUAACUUCGGGAGAAGGCACGCUGAUAUGUAGGUGAAGUCCCUCGCGGAUGGAGCUGAAAUCAGUCGAAGAUACCAGCUGGCUGCAACUGUUUAUUAAAAACACAGCACUGUGCAAACACGAAAGUGGACGUAUACGGUGUGACGCCUGCCCGGUGC